rnacentral:rRNA from 1 species
GUCUCUCUUGAGUGGAUCCUGAGUACGACGGAGCACGUGAAAUUCCGUCGGAAUCUGGGAGGACCAUCUCCUAAGGCUAAAUACUCUCUAGUGACCGAUAGUGAACCAGUACCGUGAGGGAAAGGUGAAAAGCACCCCGGAAGGGGAGUGAAAUAGAACCUGAAACCGUGUGCUUACAAGUAGUCAGAGCCCGUUAAUGGGUGAUGGCGUGCCUUUUGUAGAAUGAACCGGCGAGUUACGAUUUGAUGCAAGGUUAAGCAGUAAAUGUGGAGCCGUAGCGAAAGCGAGUCUGAAUAGGGCGUUUAGUAUUUGGUCGUAGACCCGAAACCAGGUGAUCUACCCUUGGUCAGGUUGAAGUUCAGGUAACACUGAAUGGAGGACCGAACCGACUUACGUUGAAAAGUGAGCGGAUGAACUGAGGGUAGCGGAGAAAUUCCAAUCGAACCUGGAGAUAGCUGGUUCUCUCCGAAAUAGCUUUAGGGCUAGCCUCAAGUGAUGAUUAUUGGAGGUAGAGCACUGUUUGGACGAGGGGCCCCUCUCGGGUUACCGAAUUCAGACAAACUCCGAAUGCCAAUUAAUUUAACUUGGGAGUCAGAACAUGGGUGAUAAGGUCCGUGUUCGAAAGGGAAACAGCCCAGACCACCAGCUAAGGUCCCAAAAUAUAUGUUAAGUGGAAAAGGAUGUGGCGUUGCCCAGACAACUAGGAUGUUGGCUUAGAAGCAGCCAUCAUUUAAAGAGUGCGUAAUAGCUCACUAGUCGAGUGACACUGCGCCGAAAAUGUACCGGGGCUAAACAUAUUACCGAAGCUGUGGAUUGUCCUUUGGACAAUGGUAGGAGAGCGUUCUAAGGGCGUUGAAGCAUGAUCGUAAGGACAUGUGGAGCGCUUAGAAGUGAGAAUGCCGGUGUGAGUAGCGAAAGACGGGUGAGAAUCCCGUCCACCGAUUGACUAAGGUUUCCAGAGGAAGGCUCGUCCGCUCUGGGUUAGUCGGGUCCUAAGCUGAGGCCGACAGGCGUAGGCGAUGGAUAACAGGUUGAUAUUCCUGUACCACCUAUA